GCGUGUUGCUGCGACAUCUGAUUCACCGGUAUAUCCAACAUGGCCAACCAGCUGAUUGUUUACGUGUCUGAGAACAGAGUGCUUUUUGAUAAAAGACACAAAUAUUACAAAGAUAACGACCUGAAGGACGACUUGUGGAGAGUCAUAGCGUCGGAUUUCUCAUAUGACGAUGGUUUGUGUGCUUUAACAGUUUGCUAAACAUCUUUGUUUUAACUUUCAUCUGUGCUAAGUAACUUUAGCUCGUAAGCUAACCUCUUCAGAUACAACAUACCAUAUGUAUUUUCACUGUCUCAAACUCAAUCGCAUUGCUGUCACAGCACCAUUAGGUCUCGGUUGUUACCUUAUGUUUAUAGAUUAUAG
rnacentral:lncRNA from 1 species